AGCACUUGCAUCUGCUUUUGUUUCAUUUGUGGGCAAAGACUUAGACAAGAGCACGAAGUAAGUCCUGUCUGGCAGCCCAGAACUCACUGUUCAGUCUGAUUGGAUAAGAAGGAACACG